rnacentral:rRNA from 1 species
UGGGGAAUAUUGCACAAUGGGCGCAAGCCUGAUGCAGCCAUGCCGCGUGUAUGAAGAAGGCCUUCGGGUUGUAAAGUACUUUCAGCGGGGAGGAAGGGAGUAAAGUUAAUACCUUUGCUCAUUGACGUUACCCGCAGAAGAAGCACCGGCUAACUCCGUGCCAGCAGCCGCGGUAAUACGGAGGGUGCAAGCGUUAAUCGGAAUUACUGGGCGUAAAGCGCACGCAGGCGGUUUGUUAAGUCAGAUGUGAAAUCCCCGGGCUCAACCUGGGAACUGCAUCUGAUACUGGCAAGCUUGAGUCUCGGAGAGGGGGGUAGAAUUCCAGGUGUAGCGGUGAAAUGCGUAGAGAUCUGGAGGAAUACCGGUGGCGGAGGCGGCCCCCUGGACGAAGACUGACGCUCAGGUGCGAAAGCGUGGGGAGCAAACAGG